CCCGCUGAACUUAAGCAUAUCAAUAAGCGGAGGAAAAGAAACCAACAGGGAUUGCCCUAGUAACGGCGAGUGAAGCGGCAACAGCUCAAAUUUGAAAUCUGACCGCAAGGUCCGAGUUGUAAUUUGUAGAGGAUGCUUUUGGGCAGUCUCCGGUCUAAGUUCCUUGGAACAGGACGUCACAGAGGGUGAGAAUCCCGUACGUGACCGGCAGGCACCCUCCGUAAAGCUCCUUCGACGAGUCGGGUUGUUUGGGAAUGCAGCCCUAAAUUGGAGGUAAAUUUCUUCUAAAGCUAAAUACCGGCCAGAGACCGAUAGCGCACAAGUAGAGUGAUCGAAAGAUGAAAAGCACUUUGGAAGGAGAGUUAAAAAGCACGUGAAAUUGUUGAAAGGGAAGCGCUUGCAAUCAGUCUUGACUUUGGCUGUUCAACGGUCCUUCUGGUCCGUCACUCAGUCAUCGCCAGGCCAGAGUCAGUUUGGGCGGUCGGACAAAGGCCGCGGGAACGUAGCUCCCUCGGGAGUGUUAUAGCCCGCGGUGUAAUACGGCCAGCCCGGACUGAGGUUCGCGCUCUGCUCGGACUCUGGCAAAAUGGUUGUAAGCGGCCCGUCUUGAAACACGG
rnacentral:rRNA from 1 species